rnacentral:rRNA from 1 species
GAUGAACGCUGGCGGCGUGCCUAAUACAUGCAAGUCGAGCGAACAGACGAGGAGCUUGCUCCUCUGACGUUAGCGGCGGACGGGUGAGUAACACGUGGAUAACCUACCUAUAAGACUGGGAUAACUUCGGGAAACCGGAGCUAAUACCGGAUAACAUGUUGAACCGCAUGGUUCAACAGUGAAAGACGGUCUUGCUGUCACUUAUAGAUGGAUCCGCGCCGCAUUAGCUAGUUGGUAAGGUAACGGCUUACCAAGGCAACGAUGCGUAGCCGACCUGAGAGGGUGAUCGGCCACACUGGAACUGAGACACGGUCCAGACUCCUACGGGAGGCAGCAGUAGGGAAUCUUCCGCAAUGGGCGAAAGCCUGACGGAGCAACGCCGCGUGAGUGAUGAAGGUCUUCGGAUCGUAAAACUCUGUUAUUAGGGAAGAACAAAUGUGUAAGUAACAAUGCACGUCUUGACGGUACCUAAUCAGAAAGCCACGGCUAACUACGUG